UACGAAGGGUCCAAGCGUUGUUCGGAAUCAUUGGGCGUAAAGCGCGCGCAGGCGGAUUUGUAAGUCAGAUGUGAAAUCUCGAGGCUCAACCUCGAAACUGCGUCUGAAACUACAAGUCUAGAGUGUCGGAGGGGGUAGGGGAAUUUCACGUGUAGGGGUAAAAUCCGUAGAGAUGUGAAGGAACACCGGUGGCGAAGGCGCCUACCUGGACGACUACUGACGCUGAGGCGCGAAAGCGUGGGGAGCAAACAGG
rnacentral:rRNA from 1 species